rnacentral:rRNA from 1 species
CCUACGGGUGGCUGCAGUGAGGAAUCUUCCACAAUGGGCGAAAGCCUGAUGGAGCAACGCCGCGUGCAGGAUGAAGGCCUUCGGGUCGUAAACUGCUUUUAUGAGUGAAGAAUAUGACGGUAACUCAUGAAUAAGCACCGGCUAACUACGUGCCAGCAGCCGCGGUCAUACGUAGGGUGCAAGCAUUAUCCGGAGUGACUGGGCGUAAAGAGUUGCGUAGGUGGUUCGUAAAGUGAAUAGUGAAAUCUGGUGGCUCAACCAUACAGGCUAUUAUU